GACGCUGGCGGCUGCUUACACAUGCAGUCGAACGGCAGCACGGGUGCUUGGACCUGGUGGCGAGUGGCGAACGGGUGAGUAAUACAUCGGAACAUGUCCUGUAGUGGGGGAUAGCCCGGCGAAAGCCGGAUUAAUACCGCAUACGAUCUACGGAUGAAAGCGGGGGACCUACGGGCCUCGCGCUAUAGGGUUGGCCGAUUGGCUGAUUAGCUAGUUGGUGGGGUAAAGGCCUACCAAGGCGACGAUCAGUAGCUGGUCUGAGAGGACGACCAGCCACACUGGGACUGAGAGACGGCCCAGACUCCUACGGGAGGCAGCAGUGGGGAAUUUUGGACAAUGGGCGAAAGCCUGAUCCAGCAAUGCCGCGUGUGUGAAGAAGGCCUUCGGGUUGUAAAGCACUUUUGUCCGGAUAGAAAUCCUUGGNUCUAAUACAGUCGGGGGAUGACGGUACCGGAAGAAUAAGCACCGGCUAACUACGUGCCAGCAGCCGCGGUAAUACGUAGGGUGCGAGCGUUAAUCGGAAUUACUGGGCGUAAAGCGUGCGCAGGCGGUUUGCUAAGACCGAUGUGAAAUCCCCGGGCUCAACCUGGGAACUGCAUUGGUGACUGGCAGGCUAAGUAUGGCAGAGGGGGGUAGAAUUCCCACGUGUAGCAGUGAAAUGCGUAGAGAUGUUGGGCAGGAAUACCGAUGGGCGAA
rnacentral:rRNA from 1 species